GCCGAUGUAGCACAGCGGUAGUGCAGCCGAUUCGUAAUCGGCAGGUCAGGGGUUCAAAUCCCCUCAUCGGCU
rnacentral:tRNA from 1 species